rnacentral:rRNA from 1 species
GAUGGCGUAGCCUACACAUGCAAGUCGAACGGCAGCACAGUAAGAGCUUGCUCUUACGGGUGGCGAGUGGCGGACGGGUGAGGAAUGCAUCGGAAUCUACUCUGUCGUGGGGGAUAACGUAGGGAAACUUACGCUAAUACCGCAUACGACCUACGGGUGAAAGCAGGGGAUCUUCGGACCUUGCGCGAUUGAAUGAGCCGAUGCCCGAUUAGCUAGUUGGCGGGGUAAGAGCCCACCAAGGCGACGAUCGGUAGCUGGUCUGAGAGGAUGAUCAGCCACACUGGAACUGAGACACGGUCCAGACUCCUACGGGAGGCAGCAGUGGGGAAUAUUGGACAAUGGGCGCAAGCCUGAUCCAGCCAUACCGCGUGGGUGAAGAAGGCCUUCGGGUUGUAAAGCCCUUUUGUUGGGAAAGAAAAGCAGUCGGUUAAUACCCGAUUGUUCUGACGGUACCCAAAGAAUAAGCACCGGCUAACUUCGUGCCAGCAGCCGCGGUAAUACGAAGGGUGCAAGCGUUACUCGGAAUUACUGGGCGUAAAGCGUGCGUAGGUGGUUGUUUAAGUCUGUCGUGAAAGCCCUGGGCUCAACCUGGGAAUUGCGAUGGAAACUGGGCGACUAGAGUGUGGCAGAGGGUAGUGGAAUUCCUGGUGUAGCAGUGAAAUGCGUAGAGAUCAGGAGGAACAUCCGUGGCGAAGGCGACUGCCUGGGCCAACACUGACACUGAGGCACGAAAGCGUGGGGAGCAAACAGGAUUAGAUACCCUGGUAGUCCACGCCCUAAACGAUGCGAACUGGAUGUUGGGUGCAAUUUGGCACGCACUAUCGAAGCUAACGCGUUAAGUUCGCCGCCUGGGAGUACGGUCGCAGACUGAAACUCAAAGGAAUUGACGGGGGCCCGCACAACCGUGGAGUAUGUGUUUAUUCUAUGCACG